CUCAGAAACGCACCGAAGUCCGCGUCUGGAUCCCCGCAUUUAAGGGACACCAGCUCCGCCUCCUUACCUCCUUCCUCUCUCAGAGCUCGGUGUGAAAAUGGACCCAGGGACUCCGAGCAAAGACUCCAGAAUCACGUGGGACCCUUCUGCGGUUUUAUCCGCACCCGGGGAUGCUCUGCUGUGUGCGUCCCAGGGAAAACCUUCUCACCGCCGCCGACACACCUUUACCUCUCCGAGAUGCGGGAGUGGACACCACGCAGCCCGGGUGCGCCCCCAAACGCCAAAAACCUGGUGCGUACUUGGAAAGCAGAGACUUUAUUCCCAGCCAGGAAUGACAAACAGCAGCUAUUUUUCUAGAACCAAAUAAAAAUAGCCAGUUCAGGCUUAAUCUUUUUAUAAAAUGGGAAAGCUUGCAUCAGAGAGACACUGGCUGGGUUCCACAUAGCCCAGUGAAGAGAUGUCCUGGUUCCCUCAACUGAGCAGAGAUGGGUCAGAUUGUCAGAGUGGAGUUGGUAGUAGCUUUGGCCAGCUUGAGACUUCAGGGGUUCCAGUUUUGUCCAGUUUCCAUGAGCCCACUUCUAAAGCAUGCGGAAGCCGCUUGGAAUGAUUUGCUUCUCGGACAACACUGAAACUGCCAGAUCCCUGUGAGUAUUACCAUUUAACCAGAACUGACAGGGACCCUCUGAUAACCUGUCUGUAAUUCUUGAGUGUUUCGAAGACCCUGGAAUAUGAUGAGUAGCCCUCAGCCUCCUCACUGGAGUGUGGUGAUCCUAGGGACAGAAGCUUUCUCAUCUCUGUCUUAUGCACAGUUAGGGGCUCUGUACGUAUUUGUUGAGAGAAUAGACAACAAAAAGUAUGUCCCUCAGAGCAGCAACUGCAUCAAGUUGGGCUGGGGGCCUUAACUUGUUCCCAGAUAAGUGCGCUUCUUUUUUAGAAAGUGGACAUUUUCUCGCCCGUGUAAAGUGUUAUGCAAACUCAUCUUGGAACACACACUGACACCAGACUGCCAUCCCACCCCCUUCAUACAGAAGAGUUUUGUAGCCACUGCUGACUAAAUAACUUAAAGUUAUUUAUUCUCACUAGAAUCCACACUUUGGGUUUAUAUAUAAAAAUUCAUACAAUUAUGGCACACAAGAGGGUCUCAAUAAGACAUCUGUUAUACUUGAGAAAUGCAAAUGCACUACUCUGUAAAAAGGAAAAAAUGGAAGAUGGAGGGAGAGCAGCACUACUGAGGUCCCCUGAAUCCAACAUGUACUGUAUUUACUGGAUGUACAUACAACAUUCCUUCCUCCGCCACCAGCCCACCACGGGACACCUGAAGGCCAGCUGUCUUCUCUCUACAUCAGUUAGUAAAAGGGGGGUAGUCCCAGAGAACCCCUGCCCCAAGAUCACUUAGAUGACCUAAAGGUUAAGUUUAGCCAUAUCUAAUAAUACCUACGGUCACUGAAGCUAAAAUGUUCAAAACACAAGAAAUUGUAUUUGCAUAAUUUAGCAUAAGCACUGUUAUGGAUGUGCAAGUAUGACUGUUAAUGGUGGCAGGGCAACCUGAAUGGAUUAAGAAGUGCCUAGCAAAUUAAUGAAGCACCAGUCUGGGUAUGUCUGUGGGCGAUUGACAUCUAAGCCAGCAAACUAAAGAGGAAAGACCCACGAGGAUAUGAGUGUCACCAACCAAUAGGCUUGUACCCUGGAAAGUAUAAAAAGGGAAAGAAGAAGAAAGUGUUCUCAUUUUUGAAAGAUCUCCAGUCUUCAUCAUCAUUUUGGUAUAUUAGUUUCCAGUUUCUUCAGCCUUCCAGUGGAGAGAUUCACUGGCAGCUCUUACAGUGAGCUUGACUGGUGCUGCAUCUUUGACGUCCCUUGUGCUGUGUCUUCCAUCAACUUGAGCUGAGCUACAGGAUCAGCCUGCAGGAAGCCGCUGUGGAUUCUUCUACCUCUGAUCCCACUCACAGCCACUGUGGACUCUCCAGACUCUGAUCCUGUAAGCCUAUCUAAUAAAUCUACUUGCAUAAUUAGACAUAUAUUUUCUAUUGAUUCCAUUCCUCUAGGGAACCCUGAUUAAUAUAGCAAGUAUUCAUAAAUAGCUUAUCUUUAUAAGUUAACCUCUGCAAAUGGGUGCUUCACUCAAACAACCAAGCUGCUUCCUACAGAGAGUGGCAGUUUUUUGUCCAGAGAUGUUUGGGUCUACAUCUUCAGUCCUCUUUCUGCACACGUGCAGAUUGUACAACUUCCAUUAAUGUGUCACACACUGCCUCCCCAAAUCAGCCCUGCUCUGAUCUCUUCGUAUGUACUUGGCUUUAUUGCUGUUCAUAUUGAGGGAUUUAUUUAUAGAUCUCUCUGUUAAUGACAAUGGUGUACAGAGAUAUUGAAUACCUUGUAUCUAAUACUAUAUACUUUCCCAUAUAAUCCUCCAGUAACUCUGGGAGAUAGAUACUAUUAUUAUUUCAAUUGUCCUGUAAAAUAACUGAUGUUCAGCGAAUUAACUUUUCCAAAGUCAGACAGUGAAUACAUUAUGUAGCACAUUAAGAGUAAGUAACAGAGAUGGGUGCAGGGGCACCACCUAUAGUCCCAGCAUUGGGAGGUUGAGGCAGGAGAGUCGCAAAUCUAAGGCCAUCCUGGAUUGUAGAGCAAGAACCUGCCUCAAAAAGUAAAAAAAAUAAAAUAAAAUAAAAAAAUAAAAAAUAAAUAAAAUAGCUACUAUAAUAGAUGAAACCCCGAAUUACAGUAUUUCACCACGAGUUUAUUCCUCAAUCACAUCCUAGCUCCUAGGCAUUGAUGGCCCCUGCACAUUAGCCUCGUGGCGCUGGUGACUUACACAUAGGCCAUCUGGAAACCUGUGAUAUCUACUACUUCUAUUUCAGGGUAAUGAAGGAAGCACUGCAACCUAUAAGGGCCUUAGCCAUUCCUCUCAAAGAACAGUGACAAUAAGGAAUCACAUGGUCUUGUCCUGCAGCAAGGAAGGACAGGUCACAUAGGGGAACACGUUAAUAUUUAGUAAGCUCUACUUCAAUCCAAAGCCCGUGCUCUUAUCUUCCCUGUCAUUAGCUACAAUAUCAGCAAAACACCAACUGGAACUUUCUUGCUACCAUUCAGGCUUUGAUGACCUUUGUUACAUUGUGCUCCUGGUUCUCUAGUCUGUCUUUACUCUGUUUUUCUUCUCUUCUGUUUUAUUCUCCUUUCUCUUCUUCCUUCCUAUCUUGUCCUCUUCUGGUUGUGUUUUCUUUCUGUGUAACCCCACUCUGCGCGCAGAAUCUUCUAUCACCUGUCUCAUGAAUGUGCCUUCUCCAACCUCCUUGCAAUUUGAUACAUGCUUCUGCCUUUCAGCAUGUGACAAUACUUGUUGCUUUUUUGGGCUUCAAAUAGUUAUGUUUUUUAAAAAAAGAAUAUUCAAAUAAUAAGUGAGUAUAAACCAAUAGGCUCUGCUAUAAUCUAAUUUUCUCCACAAGGAUAACCACAGCAUGUAUAUUCAAAUAUUUUUGUCCAUUAAACUAAAGAUGGUUUUAUGCAAAGUUAUGGUAAUAGUUUAGAUGAUAUUUUUAAUCUGAAUAUUUUUACCAUUGAAUAAUAUGGCAAUAUCAUUAGUUUGUAGGCCAAAUCAUAUCAACCAACUCGGUUUUCAAGAACUAUGCAAGUUUACAUUGCAUGGCUGUAUCCUUAGAUACUUUGCUAAUCCCCUUUUGAAGCCAUAGUUUGUUUCUUUUUUGCCAUCAUUAAUAAAAUCUACACAUGCCCAUGAAAGUCCAUUGUACAUGUAUCAUCCAGUUCAUGUUGUUAUAUAUCAUUUAAUCUUUGCAAAUCUCAAAAGGUUAAAUAGCUCUUUGCUCAACAUCAUUUAUUAGCUGUGUCCUUGGGCAAAUUAAACCCCCAAGGCUCAGUCUUCCUGUCCGUUAAAUGCACAUUGUGAUUUUGUCUACCUUACCCUACAAGACUUUUGUUUGCAUUAAAUAAAAGUACCUCAUUCAAGUUAUACAACAUGUUAGCCAAAUAAAAUACAGGUAUCUUAUAAAUUUGCAUUUUUUUGCUCAUUAGUGAGAUGAGACACCUUUUCUUAUAUUUAAUUGCAUUUCUUUGCAAUUAUCUGAGCGGGUGUUUAUGUAUCUUUCUGUGUAUCAUAUUUAGAUUUCUUUAUAUAGUCAGUAUAUUAGUCCUUUUCUAUGAAUUUAGAUAAUAUUUUACAGAAAGUAAUUAGUGAUUUACUGUUUACUUUUGUGGGAAAUGUAUUUCCUCAGCAGUAUCACUGAAAACAAAUUCAUAAUUAAGAUCAAGGAAAAAAAGACUUUAUACUUUUCUUUCCUGUUUCUAAAAAUCUGUUGCUUUGUUUUAUUUUCCUUACUGAGAGAAAGUACCAAACACUUGUGCACUGAACCAGCCAUUGUCUCGAAUGGUAUCUGUUCUUAUUGGCUGCUGCAUGUCCUUAUCUGUUGUGAAACACUUUUAAUAUUGCCCCAGUACCUAUCAUGGCCACAUAGCAGAAAACCAAGAAACACGGGUCACAAAAAGUGCCAAGUGGUCACAAUAGCCAAUAAAGGAAAAGUAGAGAGAUCAUCUUGACACACUUAAUCAAUUUAUUUCCUAGAUAGAGUACCCUGCUUUGGUUUUAAAAUAAAAUCCCUGUAAGCUUAAACUUUGCUAUGACAGGUUUUUAAACUUUACUUGUCUUCUAUAUAACCAAUUAUCUUCUAAUCAUAUGGAGAACACUCUGAAUAACCUAUGUACCUGAUCAUGACAAGGAAUGAAAGCAAGAUAGUUAAGGCAAUAAAAACAUAUCAGGAUACAAAAUGAACAUUUAGAAGUCAGUACUGUUUCAACACACACAUAAUGAACAAGUUGAGAAAGAAAUCAGGGGGAAAAAACCAUGCACAAUAGCUUUCAAAAACAUUAAAAUACAUAUGAAUCAACCUAACAAAGACAGAAUUGUUAAGAUGGUCAUGUUUCCAAAAAGAACCUGCACAUUCCAUGAAACUUGCAUCAAAUUCCAAUGACAUUCUUUACAGAACUAGAAAAAAAAAAAGUACAUAUGGAAACAAAAGUUCAGAAUAGCCAGAGCAAUCCUGAGCAAAAAUAGCAAGGCUGGUGUCAUCACAGUAUCUGAUUUCAACUUAUUUUGCAAACCAUAGUAACAAAAGCAGUAUGGUAUUUACACAAAGACAGACAUAUAGGUCCUUGGAAUAGGUUAGAGGGCAUUGGAAUAAAACCACACAACUACAGCUACAUGAUUCUGAACAAAGGAACCAAAAACAUGUCUUGGAGAAGAGACAGCCUCUUUAACAAAUGGCACAGGAAACUAGAUACCCACUUGUAGAAGAUUGAAACUUGAGCCCUAUCUCUCAAUCGGUUUAAAAGUCAAUUCAAAGUUAAUCGAAGAUCCAAGUAUAAGACCUGAAACUUUGGAAAUGCAGGAGAAAAACAUAAGGAACUGGACAUGGUAAACCAUGCCUGCAGUCCCAGCCACCAGGAGGCCUGCCUGGGCUACACGGUCAGUUCAGGGACGCCUAAACUACAUAGCAAGGCCCUGUCUCAAAAAUGCAAAAACAAAACAAACAGCAAACAAUCUGGAGAAAAAUUGUUUUUCAGCUGCUCCUCAGACAAAGGAUUACUAUUAAGAACAUAUAAAGAACUCAAAAAAAAAAUCAGACCUUCCAAAUUGGAGAUCUAGUCCAAAAAUGGGCAUCUGAGAUGAAUACACACUUCCCAGAUGAAAAAAUACAAACAGUAAAACAAAUAUAUGAAGAAAUGGCCAAUAUUAUUUGUGUUUUGAGAGAUUCAAAUUAAAACAACACUGAGAUUCCCUAUCACCCCAGAAAGAAUAGCUAUUAUAAAGAAAUCAACCAAUAACAAAUGCUGGAGGAGUUAUGGGGGAAAAGGAACUUUUCUCCGCUGUUAUUGAGAGUAUAGACUGCUGCAACCACUGUGGAAAUCACUGUAGAGAUUUCUCAAAAACUAGAAUUAGAGGGCCCAUUUGACUCAGCUAUUCUUCUUCUGGGUAUUUGCCCAGAACAAUUAAAAACAUCACACUACAGCACUAUAUGCACACCCAUGUUUAUAUCAGCACAAUUUGUCAUAGCAAAAUCUUGGAAACAACCCAAUACCCAUCAACCAAGGAAUGGAUAAAAAAGAUGUGGUUUUUUUUUUAAAUAUACUAGAGUAUUACUGAACCAUAAAAAAGGAUAAACUGGAGACUUUUAUUGGUAUGUGCAACUCAGUCCAUACUCAUAAGUGAAAUAAAGCAGACUCAUGUGUAAGCAUCAUCACAGUGUAAGAAGCUGAAAGCACAAAUACGAUGUUAUAAACACAUAUGAAUGCUGGAGAUAAUGGCAUGCUAGCCUCCCAAAAUUUUCUUCCUUUUCAAAAUUGUUUGAAUAAUUUUCAGUCUUUUGGAUUUUCAUAUAAAUUGUAGAAAAGCCCGCCAAUAAAAAAAUGAAAUUUUCAUUAGAAUCAGAUUAUUAGAUGAGUUUUUGAAAAAUUGUUAUUUUCAAGUGUUUCACCUUAAACUUUUUCUCAAAAGCUUCAAUUUCUGUGUAAUGUUUUCUAGUUUUUGGUAUAUAGGUCUCAUAAAUUUGGUGGUAAGAUUUAUCACUGUUUCAUAUCUUAGUACUCUUGUAAAUAACAUGUUUGGUUUCUGUUUGUCACCAUGAAAUGGAAGUACAGUUGCUUUUCAAAAAAUUUUAUUUUAAAUAAAAAAGACACUUUGCAAGUAA